rnacentral:rRNA from 1 species
GACGAACGCUGGCGGCGUGCCUAAUACAUGCAAGUAGAACGCACAGUUUAUACCGUAGCUUGCUACACCAUAGACUGUGAGUUGCGAACGGGUGAGUAACGCGUAGGUAACCUGCCUGGUAGCGGGGGAUAACUAUUGGAAACGAUAGCUAAUACCGCAUAAUAUUAAUUAUUGCAUGAUAAUUGAUUGAAAGAUGCAACUGCAUCACUACCAGAUGGACCUGCGUUGUAUUAGCUAGUAGGUGAGGUAACGGCUCACCUAGGCGACGAUACAUAGCCGACCUGAGAGGGUGAUCGGCCACACUGGGACUGGGACACGGCCCAGACUCCUACGGGAGGCAGCAGUAGGGAAUCUUCGGCAAUGGACGAAAGUCUGACCGAGCAACGCCGCGUGAGUGAAGAAGGUUUUCGGAUCGUAAAGCUCUGUUGUAAGAGAAGAACGGGUGUGAGAGUGGAAAGUUCACACUGUGACGGUAUCUUACCAGAAAGGGACGGCUAACUACGUG